UGUUUGGGAGUCUUAUAAGAUGUAAUUGCCAUUUUAGAUUCUAUUGUCCUAUCUCAUCCCAAAAUGUCCUAUUCUUUUGUUACUUAUUGAAGAUGGAUCCCAUGACCUUAGAGUUCAAUAAAUGGUCUAAUCAAAACCAUAGCAUGCAAAGCAAUAAAAAUUCUACCGAUGGUACCUUAGAAUCAAUCAUAAUGGAAGAAUUAGACUCAUGCCAUGCCACCCA
rnacentral:lncRNA from 1 species